rnacentral:rRNA from 1 species
UAGGGAAUAUUAGAAAUGGACGAAAGUCUGAUCUAGCAACACCGCGUGUGCGAAGAAGGCCUUCGGGUCGUAAAGCACUUUUUGGAAGGAAUAGGAAGGAAUGUACUUCCAGAAUAAGUCUCGGCUAACUACGUGCCAGCAGCCGCGGUAACGCGUAGGAGGCGAACGUUAUCCGGAUUUACUGGGCGUAAAGCGCGUGUAGGUGGUACUGUAAGUAGGGCGUGAAAGCUCCUGGCUCAACUGGGAGAGGCCGUUCUAAACUACAGAACUAGAGGAUGGUAGAGGGAGGUGGAAUUCCAGGUGUAGCGGUGGAAUGCGCAGAUAUCUGGAGGAACACCGGUGGCGAAGGCGGCCUCCUGGACCAUUCCUGACACUCAGACGCAAAAGCUAGGGUAGCAAACGG